CUUUCGACGUAACACAAUAUUAUUGUGUAAUGUUUAUUUUUCGACUAUAUUUAUCAACAACGCAAUAUUAUGCGUAAAAUUUGUGAUAAACAUUCGUUUUUGUACCUUUGUUUUGAUGAUCGCUUGACAAAUUAAUAACAAUUGUACUGGGUAAUUCCUUUUCGCGCCCCUUGUAUUUUUGUCGCCAAAUUAGUUAACAUUUGUAGUUUCUGCUUUACACAUUGUACGCGUAACUUGUGGAGGUGUAUCUAAUAGUAUGUAUGUUUGCAUCUGUGUUUUAUAUGUAUGUAAGUUUUAAUAAAAUAUUUUUUUUCGU